UACGUAGGGUGCGAGCGUUAAUCGGAAUUACUGGGCGUAAAGCGUGCGCAGGCGGUGCUGUAAGACCGAUGUGAAAUCCCCGGGCUUAACCUGGGAACUGCAUUGGUGACUGCAGCGCUGGAGUAUGGCAGAGGGGGGGUGGAAUUCCACGUGUAGCAGUGAAAUGCGUAGAGAUGUGGAGGAACACCGAUGGCGAAGGCAGCCCCCUGGGCCAAUACUGACGCUCAUGCACGAAAGCGUGGGGAGCAAACAGGAUUGGAUACCCUGGUAGUCCACGCCCUAAACGAUGUCAACUGGUUGUUGGGGAUUCAUUUCCUUAGUAACGUAGCUAACGCGUGAAGUUGACCGCCUGGGGAGUACGGUCGCAAGAUUAAAACUCAA
rnacentral:rRNA from 1 species